CGGACGGGUGAGUAAUAUAUCGGAACGUGCCCAGUAGCGGGGGAUAACUACUCGAAAGAGUGGCUAAUACCGCAUACGCCCUACGGGGGAAAGGGGGGGAUCGCAAGACCUCUCACUAUUGGAGCGGCCGAUAUCGGAUUAGCUAGUUGGUGGGGUAAAGGCUCACCAAGGCAACGAUCCGUAGCUGGUUUGAGAGGACGACCAGCCACACUGGGACUGAGACACGGCCCAGACUCCUACGGGAGGCAGCAGUGGGGAAUUUUGGACAAUGGGGGAAACCCUGAUCCAGCCAUCCCGCGUGUAUGAUGAAGGCCUUCGGGUUGUAAAGUACUUUUGGCAGAGAAGAAAAGGUAUCUCCUAAUACGAGAUACUGCUGACGGUAUCUGCAGAAUAAGCACCGGCUAACUACGUGCCAGCAGCCGCGGUAAUACGUAGGGUGCGAGCGUUAAUCGGAAUUACUGGGCGUAAGGCGUGCGCAGGCGGUUUUGUAAGACAGAUGUGAAAUCCCCGGGCUUAACCUGGGAACUGCGUUUGUGACUGCCAGGCUAGAGUACGGCAGAGGGGGGUGGGAUUCCUGGUGUAGCAGUGAAAUGCGUAGAUAUCUGGAGGAACACCGAUGGCGAAGGCAGCCCCCUGGGAUAAUACUCACGCUCAUGCACGAAAGCGUGGGGAGCAAACAGGAUUAGAUGCCCUGGUAGUCCACGCCCUAAACGAUGUCAACUAGUCGUUCGG
rnacentral:rRNA from 1 species